UACGUAGGGUGCAAGCGUUAUCCGGAUUUACUGGGCGUAAAGCGCACGUAGGCGGAUCGUUAAGUCGGGGGUGAAAUCCUGGAGCUCAACUCCAGAACUGCCUUCGAUACUGGCGAUCUUGAGUCCGGAAGAGGUGAGUGGAACUCCUAGUGUAGAGGUGGAAUUCGUAGAUAUUAGGAAGAACACCAGGGGCGAAGGCGGCUCACUGGUCCGGUACUGACGCUGAGGUGCGAAAGCGUGGGGAGCAAACAGG
rnacentral:rRNA from 1 species